UACGUAGGGGGCUAGCGUUGUCCGGAAUCAUUGGGCGUAAAGAGCGUGUAGGCGGCUCGGUAAGUCCGCUGUGAAAGUCCAGGGCUCAACCCUGGAAUGCCAGUGGAAACUGUCGAGCUAGAGUCCGGAAGAGGCGAGUGGAAUUCCUGGUGUAGCGGUGAAAUGCGCAGAUAUCGGGAAGAACACCCGUGGCGAAGGCGGCACUCUGGGACGGUACUGACGCUGAGACGCGAAAGCGUGGGGAGCGAACAGG
rnacentral:rRNA from 1 species